rnacentral:rRNA from 1 species
UACGUAGGGCGCGAGCGUUGUUCGGAUUUACUGGGCGUAAAGGGCGCGUAGGCGGUCAGCACAAGUCAGUUGUGAAAUCUCCGGGCUUAACUCGGAAAGGUCAACUGAUACUGUGCGACUAGAGUGCAGAAGGGGCAACUGGAAUUCUCGGUGUAGCGGUGAAAUGCGUAGAUAUCGAGAGGAACACCUGCGGCGAAGGCGGGUUGCUGGGCUGACACGUGACGCUGGAUGCGCGAAAGCCAGGGAGCGAACGGG